rnacentral:tRNA from 1 species
GGCUCGUUGGUCUAGGGGUAUGAUUCUCGCUUCGGGUGCGAGGUCCCGGUUCAAAUCGGGACCGAGCCC